AUUGAACGCUGGCGGCAGGCCUAACACAUGCAAGUCGAGCGGCUGCAGGGUGCUUGCUUCUGGUUUCGGCGGGGGACUGGCGGGUAAUGCCUAGGUAUCUGCCAGGUUGUGGGGGCUUGCGUGCGGACACGGGCGCUCAUACCGCAUACGCCCUGACGGCGAACGUGGGGAAUCAUCGGACCUCCCGCUCUUGGAUGAGCGUAGGUCGCAUUAGCUGGUUGGUGGGGUAACGGCCUACCAAGGCGACGAUCCGUAACUGGUCUGCGAGGAUGAUCAGUCACACUGGAACUGAGACACGGUCCAGAUCCUUACGGAAGGCAGCAUGGGGAAUUUUUGGACAUGGGGCGAAACCCGGACCCAGCCAAGCGGGGUGGGGAAAGAAGCGCUCCGGUUGGUAAAGCACUUUAUGUGGGAAGAAAAGGCAGUAAUUUAAUACCCGGCGUUCUGGACGUAACCAACAAAAAAAGCACCGCCAACCUCCUG
rnacentral:rRNA from 1 species